GACGAACGCUGGCGGCGUGCCUAACACAUGCAAGUCGAGCGAAUGAAGUUCCUUCGGGGAUGGAUUUAGCGGCGGACGGUGAGUAACACGUGGGCAACCUGCCUCAUAGAGGGGAAUAGCCUUCCGAAAGGGAGAUUAAUACCGCAUAAGAUUGUAGUAUCGCAUGAUACAGCAAUUAAAGGAGCAAUCCGCUAUGAGAUGGGCCCGCGGCGCAUUAGCUAGUUGGUGAGGUAACGGCUCACCAAGGCGACGAUGCGUAGCCGACCUGAGAGGGUGAUCGGCCGACAUUGGGACUGAGACACGGCCCAGACUCCUACGGGAGGCAGCAGUGGGGAAUAUUGCACAAUGGGGGAAACCCUGAUGCAGCAACGCCGCGUGAGUGAUGACGGCCUCGG
rnacentral:rRNA from 1 species